UCUUAUCUUUAUGGCGGGAAAG
rnacentral:snRNA from 1 species